GAGAUGGAACAUCCCUCUGGCUCAGUCCCUGAGUGAGGACAAGAUAGAGCAAAGCCUCCUAGCUGACUCAUAAUGGGGUAUGAGAAUCUAAGGUCUAUUUUUAAGCCUGGGGAAAAGGACAAUUGCAGAGAAAAGACCGAAAAUGUGAAAGAGAAAGAGAUGGUCUUGGUGAAGAUGGGUCAAGAUAGGCUUGUAAUAAACAUGAUGCCCUGAUAGUGCCUGGAGAUGCCCCUGGCCAGGCCAGAGAACACAACAUAUUAA
rnacentral:lncRNA from 1 species